UGUGACCUCAAAUCAGGUAGGACUACCCGCUGAACUUAAGCAUAUCAAUAAGCGGAGGAAAAGAAACUAACAAGGAUUCCCCUAGUAACUGCGAGUGAAGCGGGAAAAGCUCARAUUUAAAAUCUGGCGGUCUUUUGGCUGUCCGAGUUGUAAUCUAGAGAAGUGUUAUCCGCGCUGGACCGUGUACAGAUCUCCUGA
rnacentral:rRNA from 1 species